rnacentral:tmRNA from 1 species
GUAUAAUCACAAAGAUAUAUUUUUAUGGGGGCGAAACAGGAUCGACAAGGGGUGUAAAGAUUGCUCUUUUACUCGGCAUUGUACCACCGUUAUCGGGCUAGAUGAAUAGUUGCAAAUGACAACUAUGCGGAGGCACGUCUCAUCGCUGCUUAAGCGAUGCGAAGGCUUCAAAUUAAGUCUUAAACCGUCGCAGGUUUAAGCGGGGUUCGAAGGCACCUGGAAACAGAAGCCAGA